UCUCCACACAGCGUGAGCACCAACAAACCAUCGCACUCGGAGGCGUACGGCUUCGUGGGGUCCAUCGCCGCGUCCGCCACCGCGCUCGCGUACAUCGCGUGGGCGUACGCGCCGGAGCCGUGGCUCUGCCACAUCGGCGCGACCUACUACCCCAACAAGUAUCCGCCGCCACUGCAGCUGUUUCUUCCUCGCAAUAAACGAGUCGCGUGCUGACUGUCAUCUGUGCUGCUGCUGUCUUCUCAGGCGCUGGGCGGUGGCCGUUCCGGCGUUCGUGGCGGUGGCCGUUCCGGCGUUCGUGGCGGUGGCCGUGGCGCAGGGCUUGGUCCUGUACGUCGCGUCCAACUUCUUCCUCGCUCCUCCGCCGGCUUGCUUCAACACCAUCUCCGAUGAGCACGCCCGGGAGCCGGCGUCGUCUUCCCUGCGGACGGGAGCGGAUCAAGCCAUCGAGCCCAUCGCGGACAUCCGCAUCGACCGGAUGAACAAUCUCAUGUUUGGCGAGCAAGGGUUUCAUUCACUUCCAAGAUGAUGGACUCAGCUGAACCCAUCAUGAUUUUUUUUUAUGAUAGAUGUGCACGGGUUUUAUUUAUUUUUUUGCUUCCAAGAUUCAUUACUGAAGUGGCAUUUGCAUGCUCUACAAA